GUGAGGAAUAUUGGUCAAUGGGCGCAAGCCUGAACCAGCCAUGCCGCGUGCAGGAAGACGGUCCUAUGGAUUGUAAACUGCUUUUAUUUGGGAAUAAACUCCGGUACGUGUACCGGCCUGAAGGUACCAAAUGAAUAAGCACCGGCUAACUCCGUGCCAGCAGCCGCGGUAAUACGGAGGGUGCAAGCGUUAUCCGGAAUCAUUGGGUUUAAAGGGUCCGCAGGCGGUCUUAUAAGUCAGUGGUGAAAGCCUACAGCUCAACUGUAGAACUGCCAUUGAUACUGUAGGACUUGAAUUCGAUCGAAGUGGGCGGAAUGUGACAUGUAGCGGUGAAAUGCUUAGAUAUGUCACAGAACACCGAUAGCGAAGGCAGCUCACUAGGUCUGGAUUGACGCUCAGGGACGAAAGCGUUGGGAGCAAACAGGAUUAGAUACCCGAGUAGUCC
rnacentral:rRNA from 1 species